rnacentral:ncRNA from 1 species
GAAUAUAUUUUUGAUUCAGGUGCUGAUAAGCGCCCAGCUUAUUUGCUUAAAAGGGAAAUCGGUGAUAAUCCGAUGCUGUCCCGCAACUGUAUUUGGGAGCGAACUGGAAGACCACUUUUCUCGGGGGGUAACGAGAAUGGGAAGGAUCCAGCAAGCGAUGAUCAUAAGCCAGGAGACCUGCCUGUUUCAGCGAGCAUCA